AGCACUUGAGUAUGGUUUUGUUCAGCUGGUGGACAAAGGCAGGCUAGACAGGUGCAACAGUAAAUCCUCUUUUGCAACCCAGAACUCAUUGUUCAGUAUGAGUUUUGAUACAUACAAGAAGGAAUAUA